UUUAAAAAAGUGGAAAUAUAAAUGAAUUAAUGAAGUGAUCAGAAAGAAGUAGAUAUGUCAAGAUACCAACAAAUUAUAUGAAAAAACAAACUGAAGCCUGGAAUCUUGUUAACACCAUGAAGUUUAAGUCUCUUGAUCAGCCCUUGGAGGAGAUGGAACAAAGCUGUGUGAUCUUUGGGUAUUGGGAGACAGCUGUCAGUCUCUUUUGAAACAACCCAGGAUGCUAUACUGCUCGAGAGCAGCACUGGGGCAUGAUCUUGAGAGGUCUCUAGAGCCUAAAGCGGUCCGUGUGCCCACUCAAAUGGAGGGACGACUAUGUAGCCUCCCAAAUCUCUGCAAAAUGAGCUUCAGGGGAAGAUCGCUAGAUGCAUUCCUCAAUGCAAAGAAGACAAAAGCUAGGCAGAAGUUACCUGUGGAGGGCGAGACUCCUCCCACCAUGGAAUUUUUCAGGUCCUCAUCCCAAUAGCUGGGCUGGAACCAAGUCAGUUCCUAGAUCAAGGUAUGAGGUUUGCUGAUAUCUUGCUAGAUGAAAACUUCACUGCUAAAAACAACAGCAUAAAAUAGGACUCAAGGGGGAGGAACCAAGAUGGCCGAAUAGGAACAGCU